rnacentral:lncRNA from 1 species
CUGGAAGCCCUUUAGGCAGCUCAUGAAGCCCCAGACUCUUUGUUAACACUGAGACUGUCUCCAGCGAAGUCUUGGGCCCUGCUAACAGUCUCUGUCUCCUCUUCACUGCCUUGUCCAGGAACCUCUCCAGUCUCAUUUCCAGCUGCCAGCAGGUCACAUCCAUUCAGCUUGCUAAUGGUGUUCAGCAGACCCGCACUUAGGAGAGCCCAGGAAGUCGGAAACAGGCCGGUGCCCUCGCACCAGGACGCUCCUUGGUGCUGCGGAGAAGUGAUGGGCAUCUCUCCAUCCAGACUCCUAGGUUGGUGGAGAGGAGAAGCACAGAGUGAAGAGCGAAACCCCGUUUCACCCCCAGCCUGACCCUCCUCUCCCACAACCUCAGGAAUAAUCAUUGUUGACGGAGGCCCAUCUCUCCAGGAACUACAGAUGAAGAGAAACGGAGAAAUUGAGGAAAGGAGACCUGGAGGAAUUUAUGCCUCGCAGAAGUGGUGUGGAAAUCAAUAUGACAAGCGGAGAAUCAGGGGUGCUGGUCCCCUAAGGUCAUCCACCAUUUUACUCUAUUCCCAAGGUUAAAUACUCAACUGCUGAGAGCCUUCUCUGACUGAGGUCCUUACUGCUCCAGCCGUCACAGGCUACAAUCUGCUGGGUCCCAGGGUGGCCGACAUGGCGAAGCCGGCCUGGUGGGAAACCCCUCUCCCCCCAAACUAAAUAAACUUACCCACUUGAAGGCCCA